CUUCUCGUGAAGAAAAAGCAAAGAAAGGACAAGAAAAAGAAAAAGAAAAAUCUACUCUCUCUCUCAACAAGAAGGACAGGCUGAUGAUGCUUACAACUCAUCCUCCACUAAUGAGUAAAAAGUAGCGGCCAAGAUUUGCCGACACUCAAAUCUCAGUGAGAGUUGUAGGAUAGAAAGCAACUUGUUUGGCUCCUUCGUCUGUAAAAGGAGACCAUUGGCAACCAUAAAGGGCAGAAUAAGAACUCUGCAAGUGCAGACACAUGCCAAAAGAUUUCUUUGCCUUAGGAAAUGAGUAGCUAAGCUACCGCAAGGAAGGUUCUUCAAGAAUCAUUGUAUAUUGUAAUGUUUCCCUUUUCUUCAAUAAAGUAAUAUUUUGAGUUUCAUCUGUGUCCAAUCUUUGUACGGAUAACUCUGGAGCCUUGUCAAUCGCCGAUUUAGUAGGAAGGUGGCCGUUGAGGGAAGCAGGCGGAAUUGCAGGUUGAGUUUGAGGCAAAGUAUACACAGAAGGAAGCGUGGGCGAGCCCAGAUAUUACUGAAGAAAGGUAUGAGUUUGAUACAUUACCAUAUCAAUGUGUUCAUAGAAGAAUCUUUCUAUCAUUCCAAUUUGAAACAACAACAAUUUUUAUCACAAGAUUAAAAAGGACAUGAGAAAACAUUUUCUUAAAAAAAUCAGAAGUAGAUCAAAUCUACGAAAUAAAAGUAACUGUGCUUUUAACACAGGAAGAAAAUAUAAAAAUUGAAUUUAUUUUCAACACCAAAAACAACAAUGAAGUCUCUUGGAAGAUUUAAUCCUUCAAAAGAAUCCGAGAAGGCAGAAAAUUUAAAAAUAUCCAUAAAUUUUGGAGACUUUAAAGAACUUUUCAACAAGGUUCGAACAGCUGGAAGUGAAUCUAUGGUUCCUCAUAGAUUUUUCUCAACGGACAAGAAAGAGUAUUCAUUAUACAAUUUCUUAGAAGGAGCUGAUCCAGAAUUAGUCUACAAGGCAUUUUGCUGUGGAUUAAUUGACAACAUAUAUCCUAGUUCCAAUCUCCAGGAAUUAAGAUAUUUUCCAGGACAGUUCAAGAAGGCAAUCAAGAACUUCAGAACUAAAGUUAUCAAGGUGGCAGAUAAACCAAUUUAUUUGUCCAUAAAAAGUUCUUUAAUUGAUUGGAAUAAUCAACGAGAAGAAAUUACCCCUUAUUAUUUAAUUAAUAUGGGACUGGCAAAUUCAAAAUUGGAAAGAGAAGCACCUCUUGCUCUUGAACCAGUGGAAAUAAAUGAAGACUGGAUUGUCUACUUAAGAAGCAAACUCUUGGGAGUUGUUUAUCAAGAAUUAAGAAAAGUAUAUCUUGAUUCAAAGAUAAGAAUUAAUUAUUAUUCCAAAACAAUAAUGUUAAAAUCUUUCAACAAGACAAAGAUUAGUCAGGCUGAUGCAGAAAAAUUUGUUGAAUUGGAAGCACAAUUCAAUUCAGGACAAUUAAAAGUGGGAUCCUCCACUGCUGAAGCUUUCUGCGAAAUUGCAAGACAGACAGCUGGAAAGGACCAUUAUUGUCCACUUUGCCCUCCUCUUGAAAAAAGGCAAAGAAAGGACACGAAAAAGGAAGAAAAAGUAGGAGAAUCUACUCUCUCUCAACACGGAGGACAGGCUCAUGUGUAAAAAGUAGCGGAUCUUGCCGACACUCAAAUCUCAAUGAGAGUCGUAGGAUAGAAAGCCACUUGUUUGGCUCCUUCAUCUAUAAAAGGAGACCAUUAAGGGCAGAAAAAGAACUCUGGAGGUCCACACACACACUAAAAGAUUUCUUUGCCUUAUGAAAUGAGUAGCUAAGCUACCGCAAGGAAGGUUCUUCAAAAACCAUUGUAUAUUGUAAUGUUUCCCUUUUCUUCAGUAAAGUAAUAUUUUCAGUUUCAUCUGUGUCCAAUCUUUGUACGGAUAACUCUGGAGCCUUGUCAAUCGCCGAUUUACUACCGUUUAGAUAGGCGGCCGUUGAGGGAAGCAGGCGAAAUUGCAGGUUGAGUUUGACGCAAAGUAUACACAUUAGGAAGUGUGGGAGAGCCCAGAUAUUACUGAAAAAGGGUAUGAGUUUGAUACAUUACCAUAUGGUCCAUAUCAAUGUGUUCAUAGAAGAAUCUUUCUAUCGUUUCAAUUUGAAACUGUUGAUACAUUAAAAAGUGCAGUCCAAAUCAAAUAGUCCAAAAAGUGAAGCUCAAUUGAGAAUCCAGGAUAAAGGUCCAAACAGGAUUAUUGAUAAAUGCGGUGGAAGUCCAUGAACACAGUAACAUCAUCGUCCAAACUUGCAAGACGCCUAGAAUCUGAGCGAAUAGCAUACCUUACGGUCGCCUAGAGCGAUGACCACGUUUUCGCCCAAACCUUCAAAUCGCCUAGGAUUUUAGCAAACAUAAAACAUUAUAAUUAUUCAGAAUAGCAGUUAUUGAGUGAUCUUAUCACAUUUCACGAAUCAAGGAGCCCAGUUGAAGGCGGUUGAACGACAAAGAGUAAUGGCGACAGUUAGGGACGACAGUUCCCCUACAAGUUAGCCACUAUAAAGAAAGUGGAUAGUUAUAUAGCAAUCAAGCAGUUUUCAAGUGAUUGUCACGAAAAAAUCAUCAAAGGAAUACAAAAGGAAGAGAAGACAUAGAGAAAAAGGAUCCCGAAUCAAACACUCUCAAACAGUGAAUAUAUAAUUUCGAUUUCUUAUUUUGAACUUAAACAUUUCUUUUAGUACUCGUGUGCUUGCGCCCUUUGGAUGCAUUCUGUUUAAGUUUCAAUUGUAAAUCAUCGCCAAUAAAACACCCCUUUUUGGGACUUUGUCUCAAGAGGUUUGUUCCUUACACAAUCGUCUGAUCUCUUUUUUUAACUGUUAGCGACUACUCGUGCGAAACAGAAACAACAACAAUUUUAAUCACGAGAUUAAAAAGGACAUGAGAAAACCUUUUCUUAAAAAAUUCAGAAGUAGGUCAAAUCUACGAAAUAAAAGUAAUUGUGCUUUGACACAGGAAGAACAUAUAAAAAUUGAAUUUAUUUCAGUUUUUACUUUUUCAAAUUUUAAAGAUCUUUAAAGUCUCAUAGAUAUUCUAUGGGGGCUUCCUUAUUCAAGCUGAUGAUGAGACACAAUACUCUUUGUGUAGAGUAUAUUGAUCACCAAAGAUAUACCUACUUCCAAUCACCACAAAGUAGACAACUGCAAACCCAAGAUAAUUCCAAGUUCACUUCUGGUUGCCAAUGAGAUAUAUCACUUAAAAGACCGCAAAAGUGCAAGAAAUCUCAUAGAAUAUCAUCACUAUGGUAGUAAUCACAUAGAGGCAGAAAGAGUAGAAGAAGAAGACACACAGGAACUGCCGAGAGAGAGAGAGGCAAUGAACGGGUCUCAAACUUAGAUAGGAAGACCAAUUUAUCUUGUAACCAAUGACCCAAAUAAGGUAAGUGUAAUUAGGUUAACCAAUGGGUUAAGUUAGAGGCCCAAAAGAUAAGUGGGCCCACAAGUUUUCUCUCAAUUAAAGGUCAUCCAAGGAAGUGGAUUGGGUCACGUGCAACACUAAAAUAUUUAGAUUGCUUCGAGUGGUCCAAUUAAUCUUUGUGUUGUAUCAUCUCGAAUAUGGUAUUGGAUUCUCGUUCAGUCAUUUGACUAGGCCAAUUGAAAAAUUAAACCGAGUAACAUUAUAGCUCAGAAGAAGUCGUUUGAUAACAAAUUGCCUAACACUUUGAAAAAUAUUGUUAGGAGACUCAAGAUCAAAUGGCAGGAAAAAUUUACUAAAACUAACGCUUGCCCAAAAGCAAGCCAAGAUUGGAUUGAAAGUUGUAAAAUUCAAGUUACGAAAAACUUCAAGAAUUCAUGAACAAGAAGCUGAUUUCCUAACAGAGAAAAAGCAAGUUUAUGGCAAUGAUGGCCCAGUGCAAAGAUCUUGAAGAAUUUGUACUAUUAGCACAAGAAGCUUCUUCCCUAACAAAAUUAGUUUCAAAUACGUCGAAGCUUCGUGUAGCUCAUUGGGAUCAAAAACCUAAGAUUAUGCCCAAGAAAAUGAUGAUGAUUGUUAUGGCAUAGAUGAUCGAUAUGGUGGAUGACCAGUAAUUAAUAAAGAUUAAGAUUCUUUCUCAAGAAAAAGUCGAAAGUUUCAAAUAAUGAAUGUCAAAGAUUCUUUUCCAAGUGAAAGUAUCAGAAAAUAAAAAUAAUUGUUCUUUAAAGAUUAUUAUCAUUGUCCUUUAUUCAAAGAUAAUUGUCCUUCAAAGCAAGAGCCGACCAAGGACAAGCAAGAAAUAAGUGUUCCAAGAAUUCCUAUAUCAAAAUGAAGAAAUUUUGAAGUCUGAAGAAAUUGAAGACUUUUAUAACAGGAGAAUUCAAGACAAAGAAAGGAGAGCGAUUUUUCUUUUAAAGAAUUUCCUUUGUAUUGUAUCAUCUAAUCGUUCUUUAGAUUUUUCGAAAAAAUUUCAAUUAUGAUAUUUAUUUGAGAUCUUUUUUCUUUAAGAAAACUGUAGCCAUUCGAUAUAUUAUUUGAG
rnacentral:lncRNA from 1 species